rnacentral:rRNA from 1 species
AACGUAGGAGGCAAGCGUUAUCCGGAGUUACUGGGCGUAAAGGGCGCGUAGGCGGCCUGGCAAGUGGAAGGUGAAAUCCCUCGGCUUAACCGAGGAACUGCCCUCCAAACUGCUUGGCUUGAGUCCGGGAGAGGUGAGUGGAAUUCCCAGUGUAGCGGUGAAAUGCGUAGAUAUUGGGAGGAACACCAGUGGCGAAAGGCGGCUCACUGGACCGGAACUGACGCUGAGGCGCGAAAGCGUGGGGAGCAAACGGG